rnacentral:lncRNA from 1 species
CUCUUUCAUUAACAUAUGCUGAAUGUAACUAAGAAUAGACUUUGGUCCAAGAAAAUCCAAGUUUAGGACUUUCCUAAAACUAAACCAUAAUGUUGGAAUCAUUAAUUUGACAUCAAGAGAUUGUGUAAAUGAAAAAAAUGUGAGUAAGAAGAUUAGAAGAACAUAGCUAACUAACAAUUGGUACAGUUAGACUUAGAGUGUGCUCUGCUAUCUUCCAGUCCAUAUUAAUGAUAAAACCCCAAGUUGGCAAUUCAGCCAUUAUCUUUGGUCACUCUUCUGUAAUAGGGAAAAUGCGCUGAGAAUCGCAAUUAGUUCUUUUGUCAAUUUACAUACCAACACCUGCAGAACCACACAAAUUGCCAAGUAUAAAUGUAAGUAGGGGUACAUCGAAAUGGAAAGAAGAAAGACACCGUAAUCUUCAUGAAUAUGGUCAAUAGCUACCAAAUUCCCAAACCUUAGCCAAUAAGUUAACCACUUUUGCAGCCAAAGCUUUGUGGCGAUCUAUCAGUAUAUUGUUCAUUUGCGCAAUUUGGUGCAAAGGCUGGGCAGUUUUCUGUAAAUAAAACAAAUAGAGUUAGC